rnacentral:rRNA from 1 species
AUUGAACGCUGGCGGCAGGCCUAACACAUGCAAGUCGAGCGGAUGAAGGGAGCUUGCUCCUGGAUUCAGCGGCGGACGGGUGAGUAAUGCCUAGGAAUCUGCCUGGUAGUGGGGGACAACGUCCGGAAACGGGCGCUAAUACCGCAUACGUCCUGAGGGAGAAAGUGGGGGAUCUUCGGACCUCACGCUAUCAGAUGAGCCUAGGUCGGAUUAGCUAGUUGGUGGGGUAAAGGCCUACCAAGGCGACGAUCCGUAACUGGUCUGAGAGGAUGAUCAGUCACACUGGAACUGAGACACGGUCCAGACUCCUACGGGAGGCAGCAGUGGGGAAUAUUGGGCAAUGGGCGAAAGCCUGAUCCAGCCAUGCCGCGUGUGUGAAGAAGGUCUUCGGAUGGUAAAGCACUUUAAGUUGGGAGGAAGGACAGUAAGUUAAUACCUUGCUGUUUUGACGUUACCAACAGAAUAAGCACCGGCUAACUUCGUG